AAUAUUGCACAAUGGGGGAAACCCUGAUGCAGCGACGCCGCGUGAGCGAAGAAGGCCUUCGGGUCGUAUAGCUCUGUCCUAUGGGAGGAAACGGACGGUAGCUUAGGAGGAAGCCACGGCUAACUACGAGCCAGCAGCAGCGGUAAUACGCAGGGGGCGAGCGGGAUCCGGAAUUAUUGGGCGUAAAGGGUGCGUAGGCGGCUUUUUACGUCAGAUGUGAAAGGCUACGGCUAAACCGUAGUUAGCAUUUGAAACUAAAAGGCUUGAGUGCAGGAGAGGAGAGUGGAAUUCCUAGUGUAGCGGUGAAAUGCGUAGAUAUUAGGAGGAACACCAGUGGCGAAGGCGACUCUCUGGACUGCAACUGACGCUGAGGCACGAAAGCGUGGGGAGCGAACAG
rnacentral:rRNA from 1 species